UGCAAGUCGAGCGGGGAAAGGUAGCUUGCUACCUGACCUAGCGGCGGACGGGUGAGUAAUGCUUAGGAAUCUGCCUAUUAGUGGGGGACAACAUUCCGAAAGGAAUGCUAAUACCGCAUACGCCCUACGGGGGAAAGCAGGGGAUCUUCGGACCUUGCGCUAAUAGAUGAGCCUAAGUCAGAUUAGCUAGUUGGUGGGGUAAAGGCCUACCAAGGCGACGAUCUGUAGCGGGUCUGAGAGGAUGAUCCGCCACACUGGGACUGAGACACGGCCCAGACUCCUACGGGAGGCAGCAGUGGGGAAUAUUGGACAAUGGGCGAAAGCCUGAUCCAGCCAUGCCGCGUGUGUGAAGAAGGCCUUUUGGUUGUAAAGCACUUUAAGCGAGGAGGAGGCUACUUAGAUUAAUACUCUAGGAUAGUGGACGUUACUCGCAGAAUAAGCACCGGCUAACUCUGUGCCAGCAGCCGCGGUAAUACAGAGGGUGCGAGCGUUAAUCGGAUUUACUGGGCGUAAAGCGUGCGUAGGCGGCUUCUUAAGUCGGAUGUGAAAUCCCUGAGCUUAACUUAGGAAUUGCAUUCGAUACUGGGAAGCUAGAGUAUGGGAGAGGAUGGUAGAAUUCCAGGUGUAGCGGUGAAAUGCGUAGAGAUCUGGAGGAAUACCGAUGGCGAAGGCAGCCAUCUGGCCUAAUACUGACGCUGAGGUACGAAAGCAUGGGGAGCAAACAGGAUUAGAUACCCUGGUAGUCCAUGCCGUAAACGAUGUCUACUAGCCGUUGGGGCCUUUGAGGCUUUAGUGGCGCAGCUAACGCGAUAAGUAGACCGCCUGGGGAGUACGGUCGCAAGACUAAAACUCAAAUGAAUU
rnacentral:rRNA from 1 species